ensembl:ncRNA asRNA:CR43413 antisense RNA:CR43413
AUAUAUGGUCUGACUUAUGCGUCAAAGAAUCGGAAACGAAAUUGAUUAACAAAAUUUGAUAAAAAAUAUAUGCAAAAAGUUGCAUAUCUAUAACUCAUUUAAAAUAAAUUUCUAGCCCUCAGAAAAUUCUUGAGAAAUCGCCAAUGCCGAACUUUAAACUGCCGCCUGGGCAGAGUAUUAAGCUGCCAGGUUGAGUUUAGUUUUGUACGUGCUAUAAUAAUUCCAGUCGCGUGAGGUCCGUGUGACUCCAAUGGCUGCGACCCCAGGGCAUUACGUUGCGCAAAUCCUCAUCAAAACUGCGGACGAUGAGGUGGUCGGCGGCAGGUGGGGAUAAUAACAGAAAUUGGUAUUACGUUUUAAUUGCAUUUCUAUGUGAUGGAUGCUCACUUGAAGUCGUUGAGUUUGUUGUGAAGGAACUUGCGAAUAUUCCAUGGUAGGUCGUUAUGCCCGUCGAUUAAAGGCACUUGAUCCAGAAGCUGAACUGCCACUCGCAAACGCUCCUCAAAGGGUGCACCUGAGAAUGGGAUUGGCGAUGUAAUCAUCCGAAUUAAUAUGAUAUAAUUACAACAUUGAUUCGUUAGCAGAACAUUGUGCUUUAAUCAAUCAAUCCUUAUGUUCUAUCCUCUAGUUAAAACCUCACUCUGUGCACACUAGAGUCACUUGCUAACUAGUUUAGAGGCCCCUUUGCAACAAUAUAGCUUCAUAGAAUCAC